GCCUCACUCUCAGAGAAAUCAGUAGUACUGCUAGGUUUUACACAGUAAUAAUAUAUAUCUGCCUCACUCUCAGAGAAAUCAGUAGUACUGCUAGGUUUUACACAGUAAUAAUAUAUAUCUGCCUCACUCUCAGAGAAAUCAGUAGUACUGCUAGGUUUUACACAGUAAUAAUAUAUAUCUGCCCCUCUCUCAGAGAAAUCAGUAGUACUGCUAGGUUUUACACAGUAAUAAUAUAUAUCCGCCUCACUCUCAGAGAAAUCAGUAGUACUGCUAGGUUUUACACAGUAAUAAUAUAUAUCCGCCUCACUCUCAGAGAAAUCAGUAGUACUGCUAGGUUUUACACAGU
ensembl:lncRNA